rnacentral:lncRNA from 1 species
AGCCGCAUGAGGAUAUCACUGAGGUCUCAGACCUAUCUACGAAGGCAGCCAGACUACGAGGAGUCUUAGAGAGUGGUUUUGACUUCCUGAAGAGAGAGAUCAAGGGCUCUAGUGAACAUGCUUCCACUCAGUUCAGUGCACUGCUAUAAUCUAUUUCGAGAGCUCUGAACCUUCUGGACACCAUCAGACUCUCACUCGUAGCUC